AAAGCUUAGAUUAUAGCCAUGCUGGGUUUCUGCUAUAUUUAUUCAUUUUUUCCCCUUUGGUUUUUUAUACAUUAUAUAAAAAGUGACUUGGAAUGUUUACUUUUUUUUCUCUAGUUUUAAGUGCUACUUUAUACGUUUCAAAUUAAGCAUAUAAUAUAGCUGGGAAUUAAUUAAUUAAUUAAUUAAAUGGAUUCCCAUUUAAAAAAUGGGGAUCUCAUAUGUCCUCAAAUAGAAGUUUAGAAAGCAUCUUACAUUACCUAUGGGUUUUUCUGACUUACUCCAACUAGAAUGGGAAAGUGUUUCUAAAUGUGAUUAUGUUUCAGUACCAUUAGCCUAUUGUUUUUUGAAAGACAUAUUAAUGUUUGGAGAAAACCUUUGGUUUCCCAGUUAUGGUAGUUCAUAUGCCUUUGGGUCAGUCAUUUAAAGUAUACUUUACACUUACAUACUUUAACUUAGCACAAGUAUGACUAUAUUACAAUCAUAAAGGAUUGACAAUUUGUAAAUAGGAAAACAUCAAGAUAAAAUUUUAAAUCAUCCCAUAUUUGCAGUCCUCUAUAUCUGCAUACUUGUACUUACUGAAUGAAUGAACAAAUGGAAACUUAUUUGCUCACUUACCUUGAGCAUGUCUCUUCACACCUCUGGGCUUCUGCCUUUCUGUACAAUGAAGAAAUGGAAUCAGAAAUCUCUCAAGUGUCUUUUAGCUCUCAGUGGUAUGUAAAAUUUGGUAAUAUAUUAACCCCCAGGGAGAAUCCAGAAAUACUUGGAAAAAUUAAUGUAAUUAAAUUAAGAAAGGUUUUUUAUAAUCUCCUGUGUUUUGCAGCUCAUGUCCUCUAAGCGAGUCAGGAUGCUUGAGCACUCAAUUUUAUUUACCACCCACCUCUAUGCAGACAAUUUCCAGAUCUUCCUCUUCUGCCCUGACCUUUUAUAUUCUUCUCAGUCAAGAUUUCUUUCUGUUUAUGGAACAUCUUUACUUAGAUGUCCUGCCAUCACCUAAAUCUAAACAUGCUUAAAAAAAUAAAAAGAAAAGAAUUCAUGGUCUCCCCUUAGCCUGUCUAUUCUGCUUUCCCUUUGUAUCAUUUCUAGGCAGAAACCCUGGGCAUUCCCUGCCCAUUCCCAUUUACUUACCAUCUCCAGGAUGGUCUAAAUUCUGCUGAUUCCUACUCAUUUUUUUAAUUCCUGUGUUCUGCAUUCCCACAGCGUCAGUCUGGUCCAUGCCCUGUGCACCCAGGUUAUUUUAAGGGCCUCCUAGUGAGCCUGCCUUCCUGUAUUCAUUCCUUUUUUUUUUUUAUGAACACUAUGAAGAGCCAAAGAAUCCUUUUAUUCAAAUGCCUUUUGAGCAGCAAGACAAACUCCUUUUCUGACUCCAGUAAUUUAGUAGUGGUAUGUGCCUUUAGGGUGGUAUUUAUUUUUGUAUGUAAAUUUCAAACAUAAAUAUUUACUUAUGUAAGUUUUGUCUCUCGUCCUAAAUCAGGAGUUGGUUUGGGAUUAGAACCUUUCUUCUCUUCUUACUUCUUCCUACAGAUUUUGUUGAAUAUCUACUUGUGUAAGAUGCUCUGUUAAGCAUUUUGACAGCUAUAAACAUAGAUGGAACAUGAUUCUUAUCUUUGGGAAGAGUACUCCUACUUCCUGAGCUUACUAAAACCUGGAAUUUGUUUCACAAAACUUUUUUUCAAGGAAGCCAGCUCCAUGGAAACAAGGAAUUGCCUUCCUUUUCCCUGCUAUAUUCCCAGGUCCUAGAGCUGUGACACCAGGAUGUAUUUUUCUGCCAGCUUAUGGCAUCACCUGAGGUUUGUUAAAUUAAUAGAAUUAUGGACCCAGACCCAGAUCUCCCAAAUUAGAAUCUGUAUUUACUAUUCACUGAUAAUUCUUAAACACAUUAAAUUUUGAGAAACAUUUGUCUAGGAACCUACCUGUUCCUAGUAAUUUUUCUAUGAAUUGUUACUAAAUAAAUGACUAUAGGUUUUACCAUCACAGUUAGCAGAUUUAAAAUCCAUAAUAAAUGUACUUCAAUAAUAUCCUUAACAGAUUUAAUGAAAUAUAAUCUGCAUGCCAUAAAAUUCACCCAUUUUAAGUGUACAGGUCAAUGACUUUUAGUAAAUUUGUAGAGUUGCGCAUACAGCACUGCAGUCUAAUUUCAGAACCUUUCUGUCACUCCCAAAAGAUCCCUUUUGCCCAUUUGCAGUCAUUUCCCAUUUCCAACUGCAGCCACUAUAACAUUAUUUUAAUAUCCAUCUGCCAUUCCACAUUGUGGAUAGAGAGUAAAUAAAGGGGGAACAAAUACAUCUCUUUCAUACACACUUCGGUAAGUAAAAGUGAUUCUUGAAUGAGUUUCAUUGUGGUUUAACUUAGCAUUCGCCACAACUAAAUGGAUUUGCUAAACAACUAAGAGUUCAAAUAUGAUUCAAGGGAAAUGUUUACCACUUUGGGGGAACAAAACGUUUGCAAAUAGUUUAUUUUCUAAACUAACGGGGCACAUAUUUACAACUAAACAUUAUCAGUCUAACAAAAACAGAAGCCAUAAGAGUUUAGUUUUUAACUUUAGUACACUAAUUACAAAUCACUGCCAUCUACUCAGGGCCAAUGCUAGGCCAGCCUGCAACCUUCGAUUGAUAUUUGAGGUUUUGUAUCUCUUUAGAAGUUUGUAUUAGCUGAGUUGACUUUUGGGAUGUGGGGGAGGAAGUCUCUUUACUCUUUCGUCUCCUCUACUAAAUUCAUGUUCUUAAGAUCUUUCUCUUGGACUUUCUGAGUUGGCCAAUAAAUGAUCUCAUUGGCCCCAAUCAUUCUAUAUCUUCAUCUCCUUCAUUCUCUAUUCCCAACUCCAAGAGGAGUUAUUUCAAAUCCUCUGCUUAAAAACCUUCCAUGAUUUCAAACUGUUCAUAUAGUGAAGUCCAAACUCUCUAGCAUGUAUUUAGUGCAGCCUGUUUUUUUCUUUCUUUUUUUUAAAUUUUUUUUUUGCAGCCUGUUUUUUUCUAUCUCAUGGCUUGUGCUGCUCACAUUCCCACCUGGCCUGUUAGACAUGCCACACCUCUCACUGUUCUCAAAAUCUUCCAAGCACAUCACACAUCCAGGUCUUUGCUAAGUCUGUUACCUCCCUGCGUAAUGCUAUCUCAUUUCUCCCUACUCAUACAUGAAAUCUUAUUAUUUGGACAAUAACUUAAAUGCUUCUAUGAUCCCUUCUCCAAGAUGCAUCCUUUCCUCAAUGAGGUUGCCUCUUUUUCCAUUUGUGCUCACUUAAUAUUGUAUUUUUACUUCAAAUUUAUUAUAUAGAAGGAUGAUGACUAUGUCAUAAUUAGUUACCUGUUCCUAUCACCUUUCACCAUAUCUGUUAUAUAGUAGGAGCUUAAUAAAGAAUGUGUAAGUUCGUGAAUGGUUAAGGGAAUCUUUGAAAACCUGCCUUUGAAGAUUGUUGGACCUGGAAUCGCUCUAACAUCUAGAUGAAACAUAAACUUCGAACACACUAGUCAGAAGUACUUGGUAUUGUGUGUGUGUGCGUGUGUGUGUGUGUCCCUUUUGUACCAAUGUAUCUAUUGAAACUUACAAUUUGAGAUAAGAAAAAGCAUUAACAAGGUAAGAUUUGUUUUUUGUAGAGUUGGUCCUAGAAGUCUGGCUUAUGAUGGAAUUUAAUAUACUGUUUCAUCCAUUUAAAAUCAUAAACUCUAAUAGCUGAAAGGACUUAAAAGAUAGGUUUUUUUUUAAUCCACUGGUUUUCCAGGUGAGAAAAACAUUGCCCAUUGUCUUUAUUUGUACAGUUUUCUUUUUCAUCUCGCAUGACAGGGGACUGAGGCAAUCUUUUUACUUUUAAUCUUUUACUCUAUAUCUCUUUAUUAAUAACCUAGUUAAACACUGUGCCUGAAUAUGCCCGUUCUCUGCAUAGGAUUUUGAAAGCCGCAGAACUAUUUCACAAGGCAGAUCUGGUUUCUUGGGGAAGAACUCAGGGAAGAAGUCUCCAUUUUCCAACCCACUUGUAAUAGAAUGUUCCUUCCCCAACAUUUAUUUGCCACUUGGUGGCCACUGGGCUUUGUAGUAAUAAAAAAAAAAUCACACGAAACUAAAUAAAAGGUCUGAAAUUCGCUUUGACUAUUUUUACCCCUUUAUCAACUCUGUAUUUUAAAUCAUUAAAAAAAAAACGUUAAUUUCCCCUACAUCCUCAUAAAUUGGGCAAUACUCAACCACUAUUUAAGAAAGUUCAGUGCUUAAAAAGUAUCUUAAAAAAUGGAGAAAAAUAUGGAACUAUUCCACAUGUGAAAUAUUAAUAUUUAUUAAGCUGAAGGUUUUUUAACAAAUAAAUACAUUAUUGUUUUUAUAAGACCUUUCUUUGUAAAGACAAGAAUUAAAAAUUGAAAAAUGUAAGGAAUGCUUACAGGAAUGAAUGCAUACAUAAAAAGUACAGAUAAAGCAGGAGAUUCCAUAAAGCACAUAGAUAGUGAGACAGCAAUUCUCAUCUUUCUCUCUGUAUAAAUAUGUAUCUCCCUUGAAAUAAAUGUCAUUAACAGCAUUAUGAAAUGUCUAAUACAUAUUAAACACUUUAUUUAAAAUCUGACAGGUGAGUUAAACACUUGUGCAGACACCCCUUGCUUUCCUUAGAAAGCUAUAUUUCAGAAAAUUUAGCAGGCAAGUAAAUGCUGUUGUCGCACCUGACUUACAUUAUAGCAUCAUUAUAGAAUUCUCCCAAAAUAAUUUAUUUAGAAUAAGAUUUAUUUAUACCUUGUAAUGUCCCUGGGUAAAAUGAAAUUGAUUUGUUUUUAAAGGAUUUUAUAGUUAUUGUUUUAAUUGUGUAACCUUUCCAUAAAUUAAAAAAAAAAUCUUAAACAUCAUUACAUCUAUCACACAGUAAAAAGUUUUCAGUGCUAUGCUUUUACUGUAAUUCAUUGUGUUACUUGAGAGGUUCUAUGAUUUUUUUCUCAAAGCAACAUCUAUGCUUGAUUGAUUUGCUAGAGUUUACUGAAAUAUGUACCAAUAUAAUUCCUCAUUAAAUUAAAAUGUUGGGGGCAUCUGGGUGGAUCAGUAGGUUAAGUGUUUGACUCUUGAUUUCAGCUCAGGUCAUGGGAUCAAGCCCCUUUCUGGCACCACACUCAGUGUGGAGCCAGCUUGGGACUGUCUCUUUUUCACUCUCUCUCUCUUUCCCUCCCUGCUCCUCUCCCCUGAUGUUUCUCUCUCUCUCUCU